UUGCUUUUGAAGGAACAAUAAUAGAUCUUAAAUCGAGGCUGCAGAUACAAGAGGGCCCAGAGCUCCUGAAGGCUAUUCAAGUUCUUUUGAAGAGGAGUCAGAUGGAGUUUCUCAAUCCUGGAGCUGCCUCCACUCAGUUACCUGUGGAUAUAGUUGAUGAACCAUUCAAAUACAUCAAUGUGUAGAGGGAAAUGAGAGCAGUGAUUUCCCCA